rnacentral:antisense_RNA from 1 species
GAUAACCAAAGAUAACUCCUGGACUAACAGUAAUAUUAGUAAUUUUUCUUACAUCACCACCACCAGGUGCCCAUGUAUCAUAUACACCACCAAACCAUAUAGCUUUAGCUACUAAUAAUAAAGCGCCAACACCUAAUAUAAUUAAAUGAAUACCUAAAAUAGUAGUCAUUUUAUUUUUAUCUUUCCA